rnacentral:lncRNA from 1 species
CCGAGACCUCGAUGGACUUGCCUGGGGACAACAUCCCAAAGGAUGGCAUCUUGAACUUGGGCAUUUUGAACUUGCUGUCUUUGGCAGUCACGUCCUUGUCAGCCAGGGACAGGUCCCCCUCCAGCCACGCACCAUCCAGCUUGGCUCCCGGGGCCUCGACAUCCACCUCCACGCUGGGCUGAGACACCUCCACGUCGGGGGCCAUCAC